rnacentral:rRNA from 1 species
GAUUGACCCAUGCAUGUCUUUGACGUACUAUGUACUGAAAGAUGGACUGCUCAGUAAUACUCACUUUAUUUGAUGUACAUUAUACAUAACUACGUUAAAGUGUAGCUAACAUAUGUACAGUAAGAGUGAGACCUAUCAGCUAGUUGUUAAGGUAAUGGCUUAACAAGGCAAUAACGGGUAACGGUAUUACUUUGUAAUAUUCCGGAGAAGGAGCCUGAGAGACGGCUACUAAGUCUAAGGAUUGCAGCAGGGGCGAAACUUGACCUAUGGAUAUUAUCUGAGGCAGUUAUGGGAAGUAACAUAGUUGUUUCACAUUUUAAACGUAUGUGAGCAGAUUAAUUGGAGGGCAAAUCGAGUGCCAGCAGCCGCGGUAAUACUUGUUCCAAGAGUGUGUAUGAUGAUUGAUGCAGUUAAAAAGUCCGUAGUU